rnacentral:rRNA from 1 species
GACGAACGCUGGCGGCGUGCCUAAUACAUGCAAGUCGAACGCAGUUGCGAACGGGGGAGUAACGCGUAGGUAACUUCCUUAUAGUGGGGGUUAACUAUUGGUAACGCUAGGUAAUACCGCAUAUUUCGGGAUUGACCUGUGUUGUAUUCGCUAGUUGGUUAGGUAAAGGCUGACCUAGGCGAAGAUACAUAGCCGACCUGAGAGGGUGAUCGGCCAAACUGGGAAUGGGGAAAGGGCCAGACUCCCACGGGAGGCAGCAGUAGGGAAUCUUCGGGCAUGGGCGGAAGUCUGACCGGGCAACGCCGCGGGAGGGAAGAAGGGUUUCGGAACGUAAAGCUCUGUUGGUAGGGAAGCGGUAACUAACCAGAAAGGGACGGCUAACUACGUGCCAGCAGCCGCGGUAAUAC